ensembl:lncRNA
CAAAGACAGAGCCGUAGGGGACAAAGAGAGAGCUGUGGGGGACAAAGAGAGCUCUGUGGGGGACAAAGAGAGAGCUGUGGGGGACAAAGAGAGAGCUGUGGGGGGGACAAAGAGAGAGCUGUGGGGGACAAAGAGAGAGCUGUGGGGGACAAAGAGAGAGCUGUGGGGGACAAAGACAGAGCUGUGGGGGACAAAGAGAGAGCUGUGGGGGACAAAGACAGAGCCGUAGGGGACAAAGAGAGAGCUGUGGGGGACAAAGAGAGAGCUGUGGGGGACAAAGACAGAGCCGUAGGGGACAAAGAGAGAGCUGUGGGGGACAAAGAGAGAGCUGUGGGGGACAAAGACAGAGCCGUAGGGGACAAAGAGAGAGCUGUGGGGGACAAAGAGAGAGAGCUGUGGGGGACAAAGAGAGAGCUCUGGGGGACAAAGACAGAGCUGUGGGGGACAAAGAGAGAGAGCUGUGGGGGACAAAGAGAGAGCUCUGAAGAGAGAGCUGUGGGGGACAAAGACAGAGCCGUAGGGGACAAAGAGAGAGCUCUAAAGAGAGAGCUAUGGGGGACAUUGUCCAACACACUAUAAAUAGCAGUAUUAAAUGACUAAACGUUCCUAUGAGAAACUCAUGGUUAUGAGUGGUGUCUCCUCAUGUUCCCCUUCAUCCUCCUCCUUUUCCCCUUCAUCCUCCUCAUGUUACCUUCCUCCUCCUCAUGUUCCCCUUCAUCCUCCUCCUUUUCCCCUUCCUCCUCC